UAGGGAAGUACUUCCUACCAAAUAGGGCGGGAAACGCCGUCGAAGUGGAGCAACGCCGCGUGUGUGAUGAAGGGUUUCGGCUCGUAAAACACUGUUGUAAGAGAAGAAUGACAUUGAGAGUAACUGUUCAAUGUGUGACGGUAUCUUACCAGAAAGGAACGGCUAAAUACGUGUCAG
rnacentral:rRNA from 1 species